rnacentral:rRNA from 1 species
GAUUAUGGCUCAGGACGAACGCUGGCGGCAUGCCUAACACAUGCAAGUCGAACGGACGGAAGUAGCAAUACUGAAGUUAGUGGCGAACGGGUGAGUAACACGUGAGCAACCUGCCCUAUACACUGGGAUAGCAGUUGGAAACGACUGAUAAUACCGGAUAAGACCACGCUGUCGCAUGACAGAGGGGUCAAAGCGCUUUAGCGGUAUGGGAUGGGCUCGCGUCCAAUUAGCUAGUUGGUGAGGUAACGGCCCACCAAGGCGACGAUUGGUAGCCGACUUGAGAGAGUGAUCGGUCACACUGGAACUGAGACACGGUCCAGACUCCUACGGGAGGCAGCAGUGGGGAAUAUUGGGCAAUGGAGGAAACUCUUACCCAAGCAAUGCCGCGUGAGGGAUGGAGGUCCUAUGGAUUGUAAACCUCUUUGAUUAGGGACAAAGAAAGUGAUGGUACCUAAAGAACAAGCCCCGGCUACCUAUGUGCCAGCCGCCGC